CAGAACCAAACCAUCCACACCUACAACAACUCCUGGGUGAAGACAAAGGGGUUUUCCUGAACUCCUCAUUGAGUUGUUCGCGCACCAGAUGCUAAUGAGGCUAACGUUAGCCCAGCGAACCACUACAACGUCGGAGUUUAAUAAAUGCCAACCCGUUUCAACGCUUCCAAACGACGGUAAACACUAAUGAAAUGGUUGACCAGACUGAAACCUCUGGAGAGACUGCUGCUGCUGCUGCUUGAUCUGGAGGAUGUCGACCUUGAAGAGGCUUGGUGGAUUUGAGCGAACGGUCGGCCGUCAUGGACUUGGACCGCAGCGUCAGCGACGUGCUAGGGGCUCGCUUCGGAGGGGGCGGAGCUAAGAGGUUGGUUUCUGACUUCCUGGAAACCGAGACGACCUUCAUCAGCAGGCGACUUCCUCCCUGCCGGAUCAGAGAGACGACCUGGCGGUGACCCACCUUCACCACGUCGCUGCCGUUCACCUUCACACAGCAGAGGUCAGAGGUCAAUCUGAGGAACGGUUUAAAUUCCACUGGAGGAUCA